rnacentral:misc_RNA from 1 species
GACGAAGAACGCAGCGAAAUGCGAUAAGUAAUGUGAAUUGCAGAAUUCAGUGAAUCAUCGAAUCUUUGAACGCACAUUGCGCCCGCUAGUAUUCUGGCGGGCAUGCCUGUCCGAGCGUCAUUUCAACCCUCAAGCCCCCGGGCUUGGUGUUGGGGAUCGGCGAGCCUCCGCGCCCGCCGUCCCCUAAAUCUAGUGGCGGUCUCGCUGUAGCUUCCUCUGCGUAGUAGCACACCUCGCACUGGGAAACAGCGCGGCCACGCCGUUAAACCCCCAACUUCUGAACGUUUGACCUCGGAUCAGGUAGGAAUACCCGCUGAACUUAAGCAUAUCAAUAAGCGGAGGA